CCUUGCUCCAUGCCAGCAGCCACAAGAGUUCUUUCAUCUUGGCUUCAAAGUGUGGAAGGGGGAGUGCAGGGAACUGCUGUUGCCACCUAGAACGUGGCAGCAGAUAUUGCAUGUACACCAGUGCAGAACUGUGAUUGAUGCAGACUUGACCAAUGUUCUACUCUACUGCUACGGUUGUAAUUCAAGAGAAAGUGCUCUCAGAAAAGCCUACGCAACCCUGGAACGUGACACAGUAUGAAUUCAUAUGGGUACCGGGGGACGGCUUCUGCAGGAAGGCAGAUUAGAGGCAGGCCGUGUACUCGUUCUGUAGUUCUGUCGGGUCAGAAAGUCUGACGCUUGAACACCUUCCCUAAGAG
rnacentral:lncRNA from 1 species